rnacentral:rRNA from 1 species
UACGUAGGGGGCAAGCGUUGUCCGGAAUCAUUGGGCGUAAAGCGCGCGUAGGCGGCCCGGUAAGUCCGCUGUAAAAGUCAAAGGCUCAACCUUUGAAAGCCGGUGGAUACUGUGGGACUAGAGUACGGAAGAGGCGAGUGGAAUUCCUGGUGUAGCGGUGGAAUGCGCAGAUAUCGGGAGGAACACCGGUGGCGAAGGCGGUUCUCUGGGCCUUACCUGACGCUGAGGAGCGAAAGCGUGGGGAGCGAACAGG